AUGAUUGAGGGGCAGGGCUGGGGGCCCCUCCCUGGCUUGGCUCAUGAACAGUCGUGUUCUGCAUUAGGUUCAGGCGGCCUGAAUGAAGGCAAGUUGAGUGAGGAGAAGGUGAAGUCUGAGUGCCACCAGGUUCAGGAAGAAAACGCAAGGCUGAAGAAGAAGAAAGUGCAGUCCACAGGGACCCUUGCAUGUGACUUUCAGCUACAGCAGGAAGUUGAAGACCAGAAGUUGAACGCUGAACUCAGCGAGUGAAUCAGGACGUUGGAGAAGUCUCAGAGGGAUCUGGAAGCCACUCUCGCUGAUAAGGAUGAUAGCAUUGGUGUAAGU
rnacentral:lncRNA from 1 species